rnacentral:rRNA from 1 species
AAUAGAUACCCAGGUAGUCCACGCCGUAAACGAUGAGUGCUAAGUGUUAGAGGGUUUCCGCCCUUUAGUGCUGAAGUUAACGCAUUAAGCACUCCGCCUGGGGAGUACGGCCGGCAAGGCUGAAACUCAAAGGAAUUGACGGGGGCCCGCACAAGCGGUGGAGCAUGUGGUUUAAUUCGAAGCAACGCGAAGAACCUUACCAGGUCUUGACAUCCUCUGACAACCCUAGAGAUAGGGCUUCGUCCUUCGGGAGCAGAGUGACAGGUGGUGCAUGGUUGUCGUCAGCUCGUGUCGUGAGAUGUUGGGUUAAGUCCCGCAACGAGCGCAACCCUUGAUCUUAGUUGCCAUCAUUCAGUUGGGCACUCUAAGGUGACUGCCGGUGACGAAACCGGAGGAAGGUGGGGAUGACGUCAAAUCAUCAUGCCCCUUAUGACCUGGGCUACACACGUGCUACAAUGGACGGUACAAAGAGCUGCAAGACCGCGAGGUGGAGCUAAUCUCAUAAAACCGUUCUCAGUUCGGAUUGUAGG